rfam:Streptomyces sp. 4F, complete genome.
CGAGCCGGGCGGGCGGCCGCGUGGAGUCCCCUUAGGGGGCUUCCCGAGGAACGUCCGGGCUCCACAGGGCAGGGUGGUGGCCAACAGCCACCCGGGGUGACCCGCGGGACAGUGCCACAGAAAACAGACCGCCCGGCGCUUCGGCGCCGGGUAAGGGUGAAACGGUGGUGUAAGAGACCACCAGCGCCUGGGGUGACUCAGGCGGCUAGGUAAACCCCACCCGGAGCAAGGUCAAAAGGAGCGCCGUGAAAAGCGCUCUGCGCGGACGAUCGAGGGCUGCCCGCCCGAGUCCGCGGGUGGACCGCACGAGGCCGGUGGCAACACCGGUCCUAGAUGGGAUGGCCGUCGCCCCGACACCCGCGAGGGGUCGGGGAACAGAACCCGGCGUACAGCCCGACUCGUCUG